rnacentral:snoRNA from 1 species
CAGACAGCAAUCUGCUGGCAUCCUGAUCUUGGGCUUUCCAGCUUCAAGAACUGUGAGAAUUUUUUGGAUCCAGAACUCAUUGUUCAGUAUGAGUUUUGAUACAUAUAAGAAGGAAUAUG